rnacentral:rRNA from 1 species
UGGGGAAUAUUGCACAAUGGGGGAAACCCUGAUGCAGCGACGCCGCGUGAGCGAAGAAGGUUUUCGAAUCGUAAAGCUCUGUCCUAUGAGAAGAUAAUGACGGUAUCAUAGGAGGAAGCCCCGGCGAAAUACGGGCCAGCAGCCGCGGUAAUACGUAUGGGGCGAGCGUUGUCCGGAAUUAUUGGGCGUAAAGGGUACGUAGGCGGUCUAUUAAGUCAGGUGUGAAAGCGUGAGGCUUAACCUCAUUAAGCACUUGAAACUGAUAGACUUGAGUGAAGGAGAGGAAAGUGGAAUUCCUAGUGUAGCGGUGAAAUGCGUAGAUAUUAGGAGGAAUACCGGUGGCGAAGGCGACUUUCUGGACUUUUACUGACGCUCAGGUACGAAAGCGUGGGGAGCAAACAGG